UUUUUUUUUUUUUCCUUUUUUUUUAGUGGAUGAAAACUAACAUGCAAUUAUUUCUAAAUUUAAAAGGGGAAUUUAUACAGUACAAUAUUGUUUAUCAUAACUACUUUAAGUACAUUACUUGGAAUUUUGUAUGUGGUAUUUGUCUCCAACACAAUCUGUAUUUGAAGAUAUGUCAGAUUUGUCUCUUUACGGAAUCAUGCAGUUUUAGAAUUUACAUCUGCCAUGGCUGAAGGCUAUAAAGGGUUGUCUCUUUAACAACAACAACAACAACAACAACAGCAGCAGCAGCAACAACAAACUUUCAGCAAAAUAUUCAAGUAGUAGUUGCAAUCUAGCUCCUACUUUCAAAUUUUAUUAUAAAACAGAUUAUAUUUAUUAAAUCUGUGAGAUAAGUAGUAAGGGAUACCAGUUCCAUGCUGUAUGCCUAUGGGCUAAGUCUUUAGAACCGCACCUUUUGGAAGAGUCUGGUAACAGAAACAUAAUUAUUUUGAUCCUCUAUUGACUGCAGUGCAUAUAUUAACAUGCAUAUUCUCUGGUGAAUGGCAGCAUAAUGUAGAGAAAGAGGACUCUGGAGAACUAUAUGCAGUUCACUGUUUCCAUAGCAACUUGAGCAUACACUGAGAAGAUCUGUUUCCAUGACUAUCCUCUUGAACAGUGUAAUGGACUGAGUAAAAUAAAGUAACUGAUUGUUAAGUUCUCAUUGUUCGAUUUUAACUGACUUUAGAGUGGCAUGGACAGGUUAUCAACAUAGUGUAUUAAAUUAACCUCACCUCUGUUACUUAAUACCAGUGUGGUUGUUUAAAAAAGUCACAUUUCUAUAUAUUUCCUAUAAAAAUUCUGGUAUGCUAUGAUGUGCAAAGAAGCAACUACUCUUGUUUCGGUAACCUGGCUGACAUCUGAAACAGAUAUUUCUAAGACAGGGUUCAGAAGCAGAACUGUUUCUAUUCUGGAAAAUUACUUUAUUCUAACUGGAAUUUAGUAUGCAAUUGUAAAUGCAAGUAAUCAGCCACUGCAGUAUUAGCAGUAAUUAUGAUGUUGGUGAACAAUAUAAGUCAGAGAUGUUUUUAUAUUAUUUACAUUGAUUGUUAUUGCAAACUGCAAUGUUUAUCAGAUCAUCACAGUCCUUGCUAUUUAUAAGGAAAAGGAGUUUUGCUUUGUCACGUCUAUGUUUUAAAAUAUUUCAAAAUUGUAACUCAGCCAGCUUUCAUUCUAAUCUUACCUGAUUUGCCUGAUACGUUUAAAAACCUCAUUUUACUAGGUUAUCCUUUCAACCUAAGACUAGAUCUAAGCUUUAGUGUAGGGCUGGAGAUAGGAAUGGUUUCAAGGUUCAUGAUCUUGCACUUGCAUCAAAGAUAAUCGGGAAGAAACAUCAGACUCUAAUUCUUCAGAGGCAUUUGCAUGUGUUAGGGUGAGAAAGUGAUGCGAGUUUGCCGUUCAGUUAUUUAAAUAUAUAAGCUGCUGAAUACACAGUAAUAGAAUAAUCUAAACAGGAAAGUAAACAGCAUAGGAGGAACUCCUUGAAAUUCAGCAUAUGUAAAAGUGUAGUUUCAGAAAAUGAAGAGAUGACAGUUGGAAUUAUAUGUGAAGAUUUAAUAACAGGUGUCUUUAAAAAUCCAUUCAACAGGAAUACAAAACACAAAAAACAUCAGGAACCUUACACAAGAGAGAGAGAAGAAGAAGAAAAGGAGGAGGGGCAAUGCAAAAAGACAAUUAGAAAGUCAGACAAAAUAGUGAAAGGAUAAAGACAGCAUCUUGAAGAAAUCAGGACACAAAGUAAAUGUUACUGAUGAUGUCUCAGAAGAUGCACAAGUCCAGUGAGUGCCUCCCAUGGGAAACUGCCAGUCUAUAAUCCUGCAUCCAGAAAACAUACCAUUUAAAAUUUACAAUGAAUCUAUCACGUAAGGAAGUGAGAGUGGGAACUCAAACAGCGUAAGAACCAAGAAGCAGGACCUGAUGAACAGAGACCAAAAGAAGAUUAGGGAUCUCCUGGAGUUGAAGUAUUAGGCAGUUGUGAGUCAUCCAGCAUUGUUCCUGGGAACUAAAGUGUUGAAGAGAUGGCUCCGAGGUUAAGAGCACUGACUGUUUUUUCAGAGGUCCUGAGUUCAAUCCCCAGCAACUACAUAUGACUCACAACCAUCUGCAAUGAGAUUGGAUACUCUCUUCUGGUAUGUCUGAAGACAGCAACAGUGUACUCAUAUACUUGAAUAAAUGAAUAAAAUCUAUUAAAAAUUCAAAUAUAAACAUUUCCUACUAUAAAUUGAAUGUUAUUACUGCUAUCACUACAUUUAGAGUAUUGUUUUACUUUUAUUUUCUUGCAAAUAUUUUCUCUUUGAUGAAUAGUUAGGAAACAUGUCACUAACUCUAAACUUGGGGCUUGGAAUUGUUCAUAUAUUCUUCUGUUAUUCAUUUGUAGUUCCAUUUUAUUACAGACUAACAUAGACUCAACAUGCUUUCUUUUCUUUUUUUUUAUUUAAACAAUUUUAAUUAGAUAUUUUCUUCAUUUACAA